rfam:Oryza nivara chromosome 2, whole genome shotgun sequence.
AAUAAGUAAUGUUUUACACUGUUCACGUCCAACGUUUAACCGUUUGUCUUAUUUGAAAUUUUUUUAUGAUUAGUAUUUUUAUUAUUAUUAGAUGAUAAAAUAUGAAUAGUACUUUAUGUGUGACUAUUUUUUUAAUUUUUUCAUAAAUUUUUCAAAUAAGACGAACGGUCAAACGUUGAACACGGAUACCCACGGCUGUACUUAUU